AUACAGCGAAACUGCGAAUGGCUCAUUAUAUAAGUUCUCUUUUUAUUUGAUAGUGCCUUACUACUUGGAUAACCGUGCUAAUUCUAGAGCUAAUACAUGCUAAAAACCCCGACUUCGGAAGGGGUGUAUUUAUUAGAUACAAAACCAAUGCCCUUCGGGGCUCUUUGGUGAUUCAUGAUAACUAUACGAAUCGCACGGCCUUGCGCCGGCGAUGGUUCAUUCAAAUUUCUUCCCUAUCAACUUUCGAUGUUUGGGUAUUGGCCAAACGUGGUUGCAACGGGUAACGGAGGGUUAGGGCUCGACCCCGGAGAAGGAGCCUGAGAAACGGCUACUACAUCCAAGGAAGGCAGCAGGCGCGCAAAUUACCCAAUCCCGACUCGGGGAGGUAGUGACAAUAAAUACUGAUACAGGGCCCUUUCGGGCCUUGUAAUUGGAAUGAGUACAAUUUAAAUCCCUUAACGAGGAACAAUUGGAGGGCAAGUCUGGUGCCAGCAGCCGCGGUAAUUUCCAGCUCCAAUAGCGUAUA
rnacentral:rRNA from 1 species